rnacentral:rRNA from 1 species
UAACACGUAGGGACCAAGCGUUGUCCGGAUUUAUUGGGCGUAAAGCGCUCGUAGGCGGUUCGAUAAGUCGGGUGUGAAAACCCCGGGCUCAACCCGGGGAGGCCACCCGAUACUGUCGUGACUGGAGUCCGGUAGGGGAGAGCGGAAUUCCUGGUGUAGCGGUGAAAUGCGCAGAUAUCAGGAGGAACACCAGUGGCGAAGGCGGCUCUCUGGACCGGUACUGACGCUGAGGAGCGAAAGCGUGGGGAGCAAACAGGAUUAGAUACCCUGGUAGUCCACGCUGUAAACGUUGGGCACUAGGUGUGGGGCCUUAUCAACGGGCUCUGUGCCGUAGCUAACGCAUUAAGUGCCCCGCCUGGGGAGUACGGCCGCAAGGUUA